CGAACGCUAGCGGCGGGCUUAACACAUGCAAGUCGAACGCGCUCUUCGGAGCGAGUGGCGAACGGGUGAGUAACACGUGGGUUACCUACCCUUGGGUGGGGGAUAACUCGGGGAAACCCGAGCUAAUACCGCAUAUGGUCUACGGAUCAAAGCCUUCGGGCGCCCGAGGAUGGGCCCGCGGCCCAUUAUCUAAUCCUUGUUGGUGAGGUAACGGCUCACCAAGGGUACGAUGGGUAGCUGGUCUGAGAGGAUGAUCAGCCACACUGGGACUGAGACACGGCCCAGACUCCUACGGGAGGCAGCAGUGGGGAAUAUUGCGCAAUGGGGGAAACCCUGACGCAGCCACGCCGCGUGUGUGAUGAAGGCCUUCGGGUUGUAAAGCACUGUCGGGAGGGAAGAAGAUCUGACGGUACCUCCCAAGAAAGCACCGGCUAACUCC
rnacentral:rRNA from 1 species